UUUGCAAGCUUUGGUCCUCCCACCGUCGUGCAUCAUGAUGCGUGACGGUGAAAUGCAUUUACAGCAAAUGUUAAACUCGAGUUCGCAUGUAGCCUGGUUGCUACUACGAGGGCUAGCUUGUGGCUAGUUUAGCCAGCAUCAAAUAGUCCAUGCUAACGUGUGUUGUCAUGAAAGUAAAUAAGGGCCUGCUCUCUCUGUUGGAGCCAAGUUUAAAAGCUGCUAGUUAGGCUAUCCAAUUAAAUUAGAAAAUGAAGCCUAUUUUGAUGCCA
rnacentral:lncRNA from 1 species